AUGUUUGAUGUUCUAACUUAGACCCGUUAUCCGGGUUGAGGACAGUGCCUGGUGGGUAGUUUGACUGGGGCGGUCUCCUCCCAAAGAGUAACGGAGGAGCACGAAGGUGGGCUAAUCACGGUUGGACAUCGUGAGGUUAGUGCAAUGGCAUAAGCCCGCUUAACUGCGAGAAUGACGGUUCGAGCAGGUGCGAAAGCAGGUCAUAGUGAUCCGGUGGUUCUGUAUGGAAGGGCCAUCGCUCAACGGAUAAAAGGUACUCCGGGGAUAACAGGCUGAUACCGCCCAAGAGUUCAUAUCGACGGCGGUGUUUGGCACCUCGAUGUCGGCUCAUCACAUCCUGGGGCUGAAGUCGGUCCCAAGGGUAUGGCUGUUCGCCAUUUAAAGUGGUACGCGAGCUGGGUUUAGAACGUCGUGAGACAGUUCGGUCCCUAUCUGCCGUGGGCGUUGGAAGAUUGAAGGGGGCUGCUCCUAGUACGAGAGGACCGGAGUGGACGAACCUCUGGUGUUCGGGUUGUGUCGCCAGACGCAUUGCCCGGUAGCUAAGUUCGGAAUUGAUAAGCGCUGAAAGCAUCUAAGCGCGAAGCGAGCCCUGAGAUGAGUCUUCCCUGAUACUUUAAGUAUCCUAAAGGGUUGUUCGAGACUAGAACGUUGAU
rnacentral:rRNA from 1 species